GUCAUAUAGGCCUCACACAGUUGAAAAUAGUGAAAAAAGUAAUCGGUUGACAGGUCUGCAUCUCGUAAGAUAUCGGAAGCCGUCUGACUUGGCCACAUCGCUCGGAAGUCUGAAGUACUAGAAAAACCGCCAUCUGCUACCUUAAGACAUUUGUCAAUUUUUGUCUGCAUCUCGUAAGAUAUCGGAAGCCGUCUGACUUGGCCACAUCGCUCGGAAGUCUGAAGUACUAGAAAAAACCGCCAUCUGCUACCUAAACCAGUACUGCUUGAUUGCGCAAUACCUUAGCUACUAUUUAUAUCCAUCUGCUCUGUUUGUGUACUACGUCAAUAGUCAGUGUAUAGCGGUUUACAACGUUUAACGCAAGUAGUGUAGAAAGGUUUAUAUUGGAAAAAUUUACACACUGUAUCGUGCUGGCUCAGUAAGGUGGAUACUUCGUAUUUCUAAGCAGAAACUUGAACUCACCUUUCAAAUCCGUGGGGUAAAACCCAUAAGCUCCACCUACGCUAUUCAGCACUUU